rnacentral:rRNA from 1 species
AUUGAACGCUGGCGGCAGGCUUAACACAUGCAAGUCGAACGAGUGGCGGACGGGUGAGUAAUGCAUGGGAAACUGGCUUAUGGAGGGGGAUAACUACUGGAAACUGUAGCUAAUACCGCAUACCAUAAGAUGAGCCCAGGUGGGAUUAGCUAGUUGGUGGGGUAACGGCUCACCAAGACGACGAUCCCUAGCUGGUCUGAGAGGAUGACCAGCCACCCUGGAACUGAGACACGGCCCAGACUCCUACGGGAGGCAGCAGUGUGGAAUAUUGCACAAUGGGGGCAACCCUGACGCAGCCAUGCCGCGUGAAUGAAGAAGGCCUUCGGGUUGUAAAGUUCUUUCGGCGGGGAGGCGUUACCUACAGAAGAAGCACCGGCUAACUCCGUGCCAGCAGCCGCGGUAAUUC